UAAGAUGAGUGGGAAAUUUCAUGCAGUGU
rnacentral:piRNA from 1 species